rnacentral:rRNA from 1 species
GACGAACGCUGGCGGCGUGCUUAACACAUGCAAGUCGAACGGACAGACAGAGAGCUUGCUCUCUUGAAGUUAGUGGCGAACGGGUGAGUAACGCGUAAUCAACCUGCCCUUCAGAGGGGGAUAACGACGGGAAACCGUUGCUAAUACCGCGUACGAUUCAUGAACGGCAUCGUUUAUGAAUGAAAGGUGGCCUCUAUGUAUAAGCUAUCGCUGAAGGAGGGGAUUGCGUCUGAUUAGCUAGUUGGAGGGGUAACGGCCCACCAAGGCAAUGAUCAGUAGGCGGUCUGAGAGGAUGAACGGCCACAUUGGGACUGAGACACGGCCCAAACUCCUACGGGAGGCAGCAGUGGGGAAUCUUCCGCAAUGGACGAAAGUCUGACGGAGCAACGCCGCGUGAGUGAUGAAGGUCUUCGGAUUGUAAAGCUCUGUUAAUCGGGACGAAAGAGUUCUGCGUGAAUAAUGCAGAAAAGUGACGGUACCGGAAUAGAAAGCCACGGCUAACUACGUGCCAGCAGCCGCGGUAA